rnacentral:rRNA from 1 species
UGGGGAAUAUUGGACAAUGGGCGAAAGCCUGAUCCAGCCAUGCCGCGUGUGUGAAGAAGGUCUUCGGAUUGUAAAGCACUUUAAGUUGGGAGGAAGGGCAUUAACCUAAUACGUUAGUGUUUUGACGUUACCGACAGAAUAAGCACCGGCUAACUCUGUGCCAGCAGCCGCGGUAAUAAAGAGGGUGCAAGAGUUAAUCGGAAUUACUGGGCGUAAAGCGCGCGUAGGUGGUUUGUUAAGUUGGAUGUGAAAGCCCCGGGCUCAACCUGGGAACUGCAUCCAAAACUGGCAAGCUAGAGUACGGUAGAGGGUGGUGGAAUUUCCUGUGUAGCGGUGAAAUGCGUAGAUAUAGGAAGGAACACCAGUGGCGAAGGCGACCACCUGGACUGAUACUGACACUGAGGUGCGAAAGCGUGGGGAGCAAACA